rnacentral:tRNA from 1 species
GCCGAAAUGGUGUAAUGGUAGCCACGAGGGACUUAAAAUCCCUUGCCCAUUGCGGGCGUGUGGGUUCGAGUCCCACUUUCGGUA